rnacentral:tRNA from 1 species
UGGCUCAGUGGUUAAGAGCACUGACUGCUCGUUCAGAGGACCUGGGUUCAAUUCCCAG